AUCCGUGAUGUGAUUUGGUCGCGAACUGCUGUCGACCGGUCUAGCUUACUAAGUUGAAAACGCUUGUUGAUCACAGAUUUCGACAGAAAUUCAAAGGAUCUGAGAGAAUUGAUGGUGGAUAUGAUGGGUCAAGUUAACGUUAAGAUCUUAGUCGGGUUUUUGGAAAGAAACAACGGUAUGUUCAUCGUUAGGACUCGCGGUAAACGUAGCCAUGCAGGAGACGAUUCAAGACAGUAGGACAGAUUUAGACAAAGUGCAGGAUUUUAAUGAAGACUCGCACCGGUACCCUGACAUGAACAUGAGUCAUAGCCGUGAUGGAAGUUGCCAGGAAACAACAGGUUAACUUAUCAUCAUAAAGUAAAUAGGCUUAUAACUCUGUCUACAUGUCUUCGCUUCCAAUAUCAUAGAACUUUAUAAAAUCGCCAUGCAGAAGUUGAAGACGGUACAGUAUUAUUAAAACUGUAUAAAAUGAAACAACAGAAUGAUAUGUUUAAUGUUUCUCUUUUAUAAAUUGAUGAAAUUCUUGUUUGUUUACAAAAUAAAAUCUGUAGAAAUAUC